UACGGAGGAUGCAAGCGUUAUCCGGAAUGAUUGGGCGUAAAGCGUCCGCAGGUGGCUGUGUAAGUCUGCUGUCAAAGAGCGAAGCUCAACUUCGUAAAGGCAGUGGAAACUACACGGCUAGAGUGCGUUCGGGGCAGAGGGAAUUCCUGGUGUAGCGGUGAAAUGCGUAGAGAUCAGGAAGAACACCGGUGGCGAAGGCGGUGGUCUGGGCCGGAACUGACGCUGAGGAGCGAAAGCGUGGGGAGCAAACAGG
rnacentral:rRNA from 1 species